AAAGGAGAGUGGUCCUAGAUGCAAAGAUGAAGAUACAGGAAGGAAUAAGGAGCAUCAAAUUUGGUAUAUAUGGAAGUUAAUCUAAAUGAUUAUUGACUCUAUAAAAGGAUAAUAAUGAUAGAUUUAAGCCCAAACCUCAAAAACCAUGGGAUGCAGGGGACAGGAUAAAAUUCUAGGAACUCCCAAGAAGUAUGGUGAAGGGAGAUCCCAGGAUGACAGCUGUUCCAGAAAGAGAAAGAAAUUAGUUAAGAUUGGAAAGAGACUGACUCAAGAUACACAAGCACAUUGAAGACUUUAUCAUCAAGACACCUCUGCCAUGUAUCUAUCUCCUUUUUAUCAUGAGUUGAAAAUGCCUGGGUGAGCCAGCCCAGGCUUUUAUUUGUAUUUGGCUUGUCUUAACCACCUGCUGAAUUUAUGGUCUCAGCUGAAUUAGAUCAGCUGAGAACACACAGUUCACUCCACAGACGUGUGCCACUUAGAUCUGCUCCUGAGAGCAGGAGGUAGGCUUAGAAGCUUAGUAGCAGUGAUAAGCUGAGAAGAAGAAACUACAGAACAAUUCACUCCUCUAUAAUUUUACUCCUAGAUAGGUACAUAGCCCAUGAAACAAUCCGGCUUGCUGGCCCAAAUCUGGUAUACCAGCCCAAUGUUUCCCAAGAUUUGCUCAAGAUCUUGCCUGAUUACUUCCCCAGAUGGACAUCUUACAAACUUUCAGAGGAGCUGAAGCCAGAUUGAAUAUAUUUGUCACUUGUGAAUCCAUAAAGAAGCACAAAAGAUUUACCAAAACAAGGCAGGAUGAUGGUUACACCUGGCAGACAGGAGAAGAAUGUAAUUGAGGAGGUGAUCACAAAGGCUUUCAAGACUGUCUCAUCCUCCUCUGCAAAUCCAACAGAAAGGACACAGUAGAGUGGGCAAGAAUGCAAAGAAGGUCUGUGGUUUGGAACUGGCCCAAGCCGAACUAAACUUUUCUAAAUAUACAUUAAACUGUCAACAAAGAGCACCGUGACCCACAGCCUGAAUAAAGGGAGAGCCCCAAGGCCCUCUGAAGCCACUAGUUCUGUGAGUUGUUUUAGGGAGAAGACAGACAACCAAGAAUUAUUUACCUUAUUAGACUGUGCCCAUCCAAGCCCAGGUAAAACUUUUUGAUCAGCAGAAAACUGGAAUUAUUUCCCUUUCUCUAUCCUGGAUUGAGUGUGAAUUCCCCAGAGAAACUUGGCUUUGAGAGCACUAGCUGGACAUAUAGGGGUCCAUUUCCAAUCUGCUCUGAGAAGGGCCCUGUCUUCAUCCUAAAGGAAGGCUUUAGAAAACUGUUAUCUAAGAUCUAGGAUUGAAGAUGGUGAGAACCUGAGGCUGAGCAAUUGGCCCCAAUUCUUCCUGAAGCAUUAUCUGAGAGAGAGAGCCUAGCCUGUGGUUUUUGACCCCUGGCAGAAGGGUGGAGAGAGGGAAGAAGAAAGAAGGAAGAUGAAGACAACUUCCUGCUCAAGACCAACCCAUCUCCCCUCAUUCUGGGGUGACCAAUUGAGAAAACAAUGAUAUCUCCCUUACUCUCAUCUGUUUCCAAAGGCUUUGCUUCAUCUACCAAAAAACCGUGUGUUGAUCCCUAAUGAAUAUCCGGCACCCCGCAUUCCAUCUCGGUGACUGCUUCCAGAAAACACAAGCUGUGACAUGCCCAUUAUGUACUCAAUAAAUCUUUAAUAAUUGAGUGGAUAGAGUGAUGUGAGUUGAGAAGCAUUAUUAAAGAUUAUUUUCCCAAAAAUAAACAAAAAAAAUGUGCCCAUUGGCUGGUGACUAGAAUUCUACAAUUAGAGGUUUAUUCCUUUGUCUUAAUGCUUCUGCUUUUGUAAAUACCCCCGUAAUAAACGCAUGUUAAGUUUAUUAGACACCUAUUCCCCAGUGUAAACAAAGUCCUGGAAGCACAUUCUAACAGGAAGAGAGAGGGAAAAAAGUAUGAGAGCACCAAUGGACAAACAUCAGGAGCAAGUUACCUGGAUUCAGUCCUGGUUCCACCACUUGCUAGAUCUGUGUCAUUAGACCAAUCAAUUGACCUCUCUGUGCCUCCGUUUUUGUUCCUGUAAAAUGGGAACAAUAACUGUAACUACUUCCAAGUAUUGUUAUGAAAAUUGAAUGAGUUAAAAUAUAAAAAUGUUAGAGACUAGGGAAUAUGAGACUAGUCAAUGAAUGUCUAGUGGAGACAAGAAAAAGUGAACAAAAUUAUACAAGUGCUAUUAAUAAUACAGUCAGAUUUAUAUAUUUUUUCCAUCACACUGACCUCCAAUCCAGGCUGGGAAAUGGGUUUUUUAAAUCUCUUGCGUGUUUUCCAUCACUUGAACUACCAUAUUGUUUUACAAUUAUUUGUCUUGUGUCUACUGCCACCCUUACCUCACCACUGUGAGAUCCUUAGAGGUAAAAUAUUCUAUCUUAUUCAUCCUUAUAUCCCCUUCCAUUCAUCCAUUUAUUCUUUUUUUCUAACUUUUAAGUUCAUAGGUACAUGUACAGGUUUGUUACAUAGAUAAACUUGUGUCACGUGGAUUUGUUGUACGGAUUAUUUCAUCACCUAGGUAUUAACUCUAGUACCCAUUAGUUAUUUUUCCUGAUCCUCUCCCUCCUCCCACUCACUACCCUCCAGUAGGCCCCAGUGUGCGUCAUUCCCCUCUAUGUGUCCAUGUGUUCUCAUCACUUAGCUCCCACUUGUAAGUGAAAAUAUGUGGUGUUUGGUUUUCUGUUCCUGUGUUAGUUCGGUAAGGAUAAUGACCUCCAGCUCCAUCCAUGUCCCUGCAAAGGACAUGAUAUCAUUCUUUUUUAUGGCUGCAUGGUAUUCCAUGGUGUAUAUGCACCACAUUUUCUUUAUUCAGUCUAUCAUUAAUUCAUAUGUUCAUUCAUUAAAUAAAUAUUA
rnacentral:lncRNA from 1 species